UUUGACGUUGUAGGUGACUGAAUUUUCGGUUCGUUUCGGUAGCCAAAUGUGAUGUACAAAACGGAGCGAUUUCUCCUACACAAAGACGCUUUCAGGAAAAACUGCACAUUUGCUAACUGAGAGUCUCCUCAUUGAAAACAUCCGAAGCUCUUCAAAGGUAAAUGAUUUUAUUUAUUUGGUUAUCUGGUUUUUGUGAAAAUGUUGCGUGCUAAAUGCUACUCAAAAUGCUAAGCUAGCUUAGCAUACUCUUACACAAAUUAGUGAAUUGCUAUGGUUCAAAAGCAUAUUUUGAAAAUCUGAGAUGACAGUGUUGUUAAGAAAAUGCUAAGCUUGAGAGUAGGCACAUUAUUUUCAUUUUAUUUGCGAUUUUCAAAAAUCGUUAACGUUGCGUUAUGCUAAUGAGCCUGAGGCUUUAGUCACGAUCCCGGAUCCGGGAUGGGGAGUUUCAAGAUUAAUGGAAGAAGAUGUUCACAUUCACUGUUCAGAUAACUGAGAAUCAUGUCCAGGGAGUACUGACAUUAACAAUGUGGUCCUGAAAGGAAAGAGAAGGAACUUAGGCUAUAGCACUGCUAUAAUGUGAAUUACAUGACUUACUGUUUCAUAUUUUUGUAUAACGUACUUUCAGACUACUGAAACCCCACCCGAUGUGGUGGAAGUUGUCUAACCAGAUCAGAACACCUUCGAGGACCACCUUCAGGAAGGUACUGAGAACGAUGGAGGUUUUUGAAUAGGGGAGACUGAACGUUGACAAGGCGUAGGAGAGCUACCAGAGCAGAAUCAAGAAGGGGACCAAGUGCCACGACAUCCGGGAUAAUUACUUAGUUUGGAAGGCGAGACCUGGGACACCUCGUUGCUGUCGCUCCUAUCUGGGUUCACCAUCUGUUAAGGGCCUAGGGGUUCUGCCCAACACCCAGACGUGGAUCCACCUGAUGUCCUCCAUUACCUCCAUGUGACUGGAACGAAUUACAAAAAUCCCUGAAGUUGGAGACUUUUAUCUCCUUCACCAACUUCAAACAUCUGCUAUCUGAGCAGCUAACCGAUUGUUGCAGCUGUACAUAGUCUAUUGGUAAAUAGCCCACCCAUUUUCACCUACCUCAUCCCCAUACUGUUUUUAUUUAUUUACUUUUCUGCUCUUUUGCACACCAAUAUCUCUACCUGUACACAACCAUCUGAUCAUUUAUCAUUCCAGUGUUAAUCUGCAAAAUUGUAAUUAUUCGCCUACCUCCUCAUGCCUUUUGCACACAAUGUAUAUAGACUCCCCUUUUUUUCUACUGUGUUAUUGACUUGUUAAUUGUUUACUCCAUGUGUAACUCUGUGUUGUCUGUUCACACUGCUAUGCUUUAUCUUGGCCAGGUCGCAGUUGCAAAUGAGAACUUGUUCUCAACUAGCCUACCUGGUUAAAUAAAGGUGAAAA